UUUCAUUUGAAACAAUGGAUGAUAUUCUGAUCUAUGGAUUGCAAAACUAAUGUGUGGUGGAAGGAUCCUGAUGUGGAUUGCCUGAAGCCCAACAAUUUCAAUAUGCAAACUUUCAUACAAUUAUCCAUUGCAAAGAGAAUUAAAGAAUUUUUCAUUUCUUUUCUGAAAAAUGUUAGUCCAACUUUCUCAACCAUUUUCCCUAAAUUUUGUCACUCAUCCACACUGUUAUGUUUGCAUAGUACAGCACAAAGAAGAGUUUUUUAUAGUCUUAAAUUAUCUCGGCUUUUUACAUUUUCAGAUGAAUAAAAGUGGGAGCUUCUUUGAAUUAA
rnacentral:lncRNA from 1 species